UGCAAGUCGAGCGAACAGAGAAGGAGCUUGCUCCUUUGACGUUAGCGGCGGACGGGUGAGUAACACGUGGGCAACCUACCUUAUAGUUUGGGAUAACUCCGGGAAACCGGGGCUAAUACCGAAUAAUCUGUUCCACCUCAUGGUGGAACACUGAAAGACGGUUUCGGCUGUCGCUAUAAGAUGGGCCCGCGGCGCAUUAGCUAGUUGGUGAGGUAACGGCUCACCAAGGCGACGAUGCGUAGCCGACCUGAGAGGGUGAUCGGCCACACUGGGACUGAGACACGGCCCAGACUCCUACGGGAAGCAGCAGUAGGGAAUCUUCCACAAUGGGCGAAAGCCUGAUGGAGCAACGCCGCGUGAGUGAAGAAGGUUUUCGGAUCGUAAAACUCUGUUGUAAGGGAAGAACAAGUACAGUAGUAACUGGCUGUACCUUGACGGUACCUUAUUAGAAAGCCACGGCUAACUACGUGCCAGCAGCCGCGGUAAUACGUAGGUGGCAAGCGUUGUCCGGAAUUAUUGGGCGUAAAGCGCGCGCAGGCGGUCCUUUAAGUCUGAUGUGAAAGCCCACGGCUCAACCGUGGAGGGUCAUUGGAAACUGGGGGACUUGAGUGCAGAAGAAGAAAGUGGAAUUCCAAGUGUAGCGGUGAAAUGCGUAGAGAUUUGGAAGAACACCAGUGGCGAAAGCGACUUUCUGGUCUGUAACUGACGCUGAGGCGCGAAGCGUGGGGAGCAACAGGAUUGAUACCCUGGUAGUCACGCCGUAACGAUGGUGCUAAUGUUUGGGGGGUUUCCCCCCUUAUGCUGCAGCUACGCAUUAGCCUCGCCUGGGGAAUACGGCGCAAGCUGAACUCAAGGAUUGACGGGGCCGCCAACGGGGAAAUUUGGGUUUAUUCAAGCACCCAAAACCUUCCAGG
rnacentral:rRNA from 1 species